rnacentral:rRNA from 1 species
AUGGACCUCGGAUCAGGUGA